rnacentral:rRNA from 1 species
GUGGGAGUUGAAAAAAAAAUUUUUGUGUCUUAAGCAUAAAUAAUCUUAGUAAAGGUGAUAGAAAAGAAGGUUAUAGGUAAGUACCGAUAGGGAAGCAAUUAAAAUGAUUAAAGCUGAGUUUUAUUCUUCUACCUUGUGUAUUAUGGGCUUCCAAAAUAGAUCUUAUAUAAGGUUAACCCGAAAGUAAGUGGGCUAUUUUUAGCCUGUUAAGAACGCAGAAUUUAAGUGUUUCAAAACUUAAGGAAGAGUUAAAAAUAGAGAUAAGAUGUCAUUCGCACUUGCAGAUAGCUGGUUGUUCUUUAAAUGCAUUUAAGUGCAUUUUCUUUGUGAAGAAGACUAAUUCUGGGAUAAGCUAGUAUUAGUAGAAGAUUAGGUUUAUUGAAAUUGAUAAUUAAUUUAUUUAGGCUUAGAAAUAGCUAUAGUAUAUGAACCUGUUAUUAGGUAGAUAUUUUUAAAAUAUAAUUUUAAUCAAAACAUUCUUUAAUUAAGGGAUAACUAAGAGGAACAUUUUAUCUUAGAUUAAAAUGGUUAGCAUGAUUAUAAGAAGGAACUUAAAAAUAAGUAACUUUUUUAAAAUACAGAAAGUAACUCGGCAAAUAGGAGCAACGACUGUAUAACAAAGACAUAGCUUUUUGAAUUUAUGAAAAGUGCUGUCUGCCCGGUGACCCAUCAGUUAAACGGCCGCUUAUGUGCUAAGGUAGCAUAAUAAUUUGCCUUUUUAUUGGAGGCUAGUAUGAAAGGCCUAACGAAGCUCGUCUGUCUCUUUGUAUAAAUUAAAAUUGAUUUGCAUAUGAAAAAUUAUGUAUUCUGAUGUAGGACGAGAAGACCCUAUAGAGUUUUAGUAUAAUUUAUAUAAUAAGAUUAUUAACAAAAAGCUAGAUUAAGGUGUUAUAUGAAUAUACUUUUAUUGGGGCAAUAUAAGAUUAUAGUAAAACUCUUGAAUGUGUAAUUUACGAUAGUAAAAUUGAGAUCCUCAAAGAGAAUUAAGAAAAACUACCUUAGGGAUAACAGCGUAAUCUUACCAGAGAGGUCUAAUCGAAGGUAGGGUUUGCGACCUCGAUGUUGGACUAAGAGAACUUUAAAGUGUAGAAGCUUUAAAAGUAAGCCUGUUCGGCUUUUAAUAUCUUACAUGAUCUGAGUUCAGGUCGGCGUGAGCUAGUCCGGUUUCUAUCCUCAUUAGAGAAUUAAGACCUUCCUAUAUUACGAAAGGAACCAGGAAGGAGAUUUAAUCUUUUUGAUUGAUGGAAAUAUUUAUAUUAAAAUGUU